UACGUAGGGUGCAAGCGUUGUCCGGAAUUAUUGGGCGUAAAGAGCUCGUAGGCGGUCUGUCGCGUCGGCUGUGAAAACCCGGGGCUCAACCCCGGGCCUGCAGUCGAUACGGGCAGACUAGAGUGCGGUAGGGGAGACUGGAAUUCCUGGUGUAGCGGUGAAAUGCGCAGAUAUCAGGAGGAACACCGGUGGCGAAGGCGGG
rnacentral:rRNA from 1 species